rnacentral:antisense_RNA from 1 species
AAAUUCUGAAAGGUUGCCUCAUCGCUGGAAAUAUGUGUAAUGUUGGAGCAAUGCUAGAUUAUAAAAUUUAUCGUUAAUUAAUAAUGAAACACACAAAGAUUGAGCAGUUGUUCUCAUCAGAAACAUCUACCAGGAACUUACAGGGGGUCAUGAGAUAGCUCUGUAGCAAACAAGAAAGAGAAGAAAUGCUUCUUGCCCUGGCAGAAUUAUGAGUGGGCACACUUGCUAUGUUAUACAAUAUUAGGCAUGCAGUUGAAAAAAAACAAAGAACCAUACAAAUCACCAGGUGUCUGGUCACAAACUCUGGCAGAGCUUCACACAAAGCAGGCAAGCUACAAGAUUUCGAACAACACAGCUUAUAGAUGAAAGUUAAAGGCAUUUAAUUUACUUGAAAACAGAGGAAGAAAGGACCAACACAUAAAAGAACAUUCAUUUUGAGGGAUGAGCAAUUCAAUUGAGUUCAAGGGUAGGGCAAUGGUGACUUCUCAGCCACCUGCUAUCAAUUUGACAUGUAUUAAGCACACGACUGGGUUAAUAAAAGUGGGAGUUUGGGUUAAAAUGCCCCUUUGGGUUAAGAGGCGCUGAACAAAUGUUUGUCUAAGAAAGUUGAAACUAUGGAAGAAAAGGUGGUCAACUUCAGAGACGUAGAUGUAACUCCUACAACAUGCUUCAACAUGGUUUAGCCAAGUGGAAACUUUUUCUUCCUGGUGUAUGCUCUUUAACAUAUUUAAGAUGUCCUUAACAUCUUUCAGAAAUCUACUUUUCUACCAAUAUUAUAUGGGUUAAUAUUUUUCAAAGAUAAAGCACAAAUAGUAGAGGGCUAAUUUUCAGGCUAUACUGCAUUUAUGAAGCAAAGCAAACCUCAUCUGCUUUCAUGACUUGAAUGGAGGAGAAUGGUUAGAGACUAUUAAAAGAGUAGAGGAGAGGAAAGAAGAGGCAAGAGCAAGAACACACAGCAGACUGGCUUCUCCAACUUGGCAGUGGUCUCUCUAGUUCCUGGAGUCCUGUCCAUGAAUGAGGUUGGACUUGCAGCCACCAGCCAUUGCCAGUGGAGAGGCAGCGCCAGACUCCUACCAGCACUCACAUGGGUGGCAAUGGAAUGAAGUCACCACAUUUAGCAAAGGGUGAUGGCACACUUCUUGGGUUUGCUAUGGGAGUAACCUUCUGUUUAAAUGUAUUACACAGAGCUCAUCUCUAACAAAAUCAUCUUCCUAUUUGGUUAACACUGUAAAUGAAAAUUCUGAACAGUGUGUGUUUACCCAAAGGUAGAAUCUAUACUCUCAGACUGCUAUCCAUUUGUGUGACCAUAAAGUCUUUAAAACUGGAGUAACGAUGGGGCAGAGAGAGGUAGUAUUUAAUAUCAAAAAGCCACAUGGUUGUCACAAUUUUAGGCAAGCUCAAGCAGAAACUGUAUAUGUAAGGAAUAGAAUGUCAAUGUUACUUUCAGUUUGAAUUUCUACCACUGAAAUUUUAUUUCAAUCCAAAAUAUUCCUCUGCACAUGAGUCAGGCAGAAUGACCAAAUGUUGAUGCUGUGUGAUGAUGAUGUCCAUAGCCUGGACCUCUUCCCAUCUGGCUCCUUGGAUUACCUCACAGCCCUUCCCAGGUACCCAGAAUGUUUGCUCUUUGGUUAUAAGGCCAGAUGAAUGAGCAAAAACUCCCACCUAAAUCUGUAGCAUGCGGACAUCCAAAUGAAUAGAUAUUUGAUUCUACUCACAGAUAUCAAACUAAAUAUGUUAAAUUCUAAAGAGAGCUAUUUCAACAGUCUCAAUUAAUCUUCAAAAUGGAAAAGCUGCUUCUGUACUUAUGUAAAAUAUAAUAUGCUAUGUUAUACUAUUUGUUACUUCACAAAGUUUUUAACACAUCAUUUUAACACCUCCAAGUCUAUAAAUGUAUACUGCAGCAGAAGCCAUAUUGAGCAUAUAUAAUCAAAAUCGAAUCCUAUAUUCCUACAGCUCUCACCACCAUCAAAGCUUGCCAUCUGGAGAAAACACAGGGCGACCGUGGCCUAUGGAUAGAUGCUUAGAGAAUCCAACCUUCAUCCUGAGCAUGAGGGUGUUGGCGUUUGGAAAAGAGGAAGAAGGGGAAGCAGGCAAAUGUGGGUUUGGAGAGUGACAAUGCUAAUGAAAUAGGGUAAAUAACAAGCUUGGAAGUGAAGACCAGGCCAGUUUCCUAGAGCACUUUUCCAUUCUGUAUCCUGAGACUAUGGAGACAGGAAGUGGAGAGAGCAGAUAAAUCCAUGACACUAUUCUCCAGGAUCAGCUCCUGCCAUUCCGACUGCCCUAAUAUCCUUUCCUGCCUCCUCUCUCUUCUAGUAUUGCUCUCAGAUCAUGCUGGAUACGCUUAAUAUAAACUGAAUUUAUCAUCUUCUAGACAUUCCAAUAUUGACUUUAUGUCAAUAACCUCCCAAAUGCCUGUAUUUUGUUCUGAAGUUUCCUCGGGGCAGUAUUUUCAGCUCUCUAUUGGCCAUACCACUUGGAUGAAUAAAAAGAACUUCAACCUCCA